UUGAAUGAAACUGAGUGAGGUUGUGGCUGGCUUCAGUAAUUUGAAGCAUGUGCACACUUUGCUUGUUCUUCCAACCCCUUUACACUCUUGUGCACUUCUCAUGGGAUUGAGUUGUGGUAUGAAAUAUGACCGACAGCUCUUCUCGUGUGUUUUUCUUUAAAACAUACAUCUGUUUGUUUCAAGAAUGUCAUUCAUUUGUGCAUCAUUGCAUAUAAAUA
rnacentral:misc_RNA from 1 species